GGAAGACCAAAGACCCGACCAUGCCUGGUGUCACCUCGAGGUUUUUGAAACUGUAACUGAAAGGAAAGUGGUGGAACUAUCAAGUUUCAGAAAGAAAAGUUACCUCUUACGACUGUCAAUCAGAAUUAGAACGUCCGUGAGGCUCACUACAACCCUGCAAGGGCUGAUGAUUUAGAUGUAUUAAUUACUUACAUCUCCAACUGAUAUGACUGCAAAAUUGGAAAACCACAAGGUGGCAAUCUGAAACAGGCCAGUCCUGAUGGCAGUCAGAACGGAGGCUCACUGAAAAUCCUAAAACUAGAUCUGCCACGUGAACAGCUAUUUAUAUGCCUCAGCAUUCCCCCUGAAGCCUCCAAGUGAACACAUCACAGAAACACAUUGUGCAUUCUGCCUACUAGUGCAACCUCAGCCAAUGUUGUCUGAAGCAACUGGUCUCAGUGACCAUGAACGUGGGAAGUUUCCUGAGCUUGAAGAAUCAGUGGUUUGAUUACAGAAAACCCAGGAUUUUCUUCUUGUCAUCCCUCAGCAUAGUUUCUCAGAAACUUGGUGACUUCUCUACUAGCAAAAGGAUUUUUUCUCUGGGACGAGCAUGCCAAUUGCAACGUAAAUCCUAUGGGAGGCAUUUCACACACGAAGAGCAGAGGAGAAACGAAAGGUAACCACACUUGGCAAGGUUCCACGAGUCACCUCAGGCGCGAAGAGGGUCAGAGAAAAUGGCAAGCAUGCAGAACUCCCAAUUACCGUAAAAGCCCACUGAUUUGGAUUAAUUGGGGUAGAGG